rnacentral:lncRNA from 1 species
AGGAAUGAAGCUUCUUGAAACAUUCCUAUCACAUUGAAAAAUGUAUCCAUCUGACUUCAAGUGCAAACAGAUGCUGUCAAAUAUUUCUUCUGUAGCUAAUAGCUCUGGAAUAUAAAUGAGAAAUACAUGACACAAGAACAUGGAACAAUAUGUUCUACUUCAUUUGAAUGAACGUUAUCAGAAAACCUCUGAGGUAUCCAUGAAUCCUAAUGUAACUAAAACCUGAAUUCUUGCCAACUAUUACUGUCUACCUUCCUAUAACCCCAUCUAAAACCCCAUACUUGCAAAAAUAUAGUUUAGCAGCCCAUAAAUUCUACUGUAAACACCAUCAAGACGUUACUGCUUAUCAAUCAUCCAUGUUGCGAUCUAAGUAACUUCCUAUACACACAUUAGCAUGCACUUCACAUAGUUUGGAAGAACAAUUCAAUCUGCAAUGACCUCCGUCAAGGUAAAUAUCCC